rnacentral:rRNA from 1 species
GAUGAGCUCGCGUCUGAUUAGCUAGUUGGCGGGGUAACGGCCCACCAAGGCGACGAUCAGUAGCCGGCCUGAGAGGGUGAACGGCCACAUUGGGACUGAGACACGGCCCAAACUCCUACGGGAGGCAGCAGUGGGGAAUAUUGCACAAUGGGGGAAACCCUGAUGCAGCGACGCCGCGUGAGUGAAGAAGUAUUUCGGUAUGUAAAGCUCUAUCAGCAGGGAAGAAAAUGACGGUACCUGACUAAGAAGCCCCGGCUAACUACGUGCCAGCAGCCGCGGUAAUACGUAGGGGGCAAGCGUUAUCCGGAUUUACUGGGUGUAAAGGGAGCGUAGACGGCAGCGCAAGUCUGAAGUGAAAUCCCAUGGCUUAACCAUGGAACUGCUUUGGAAACUGUGCAGCUGGAGUGCAGGAGAGGUAAGCGGAAUUCCUAGUGUAGCGGUGAAAUGCGUAGAUAUUAGGAGGAACACCAGUGGCGAAGGCGGCUUACUGGACUGUAACUGACGUUGAGGCUCGAAAGCGUGGGGAGCAAACAGGAUUAGAUACCCUGGUAGUCCACGCCGUAAACGAUGAUUACUAGGUGUUGGGGGACCAAGGUCCUUCGGUGCCGGCGCAAACGC